CCUGAGAAACCCAAAAGAUCGAACGGGGAGAUUCAUCGUCAGCGCAUUUUGUAUAUGUAUGAGGUAUGAUGCGGGUUACUCUUUGAGUAUUGCCUGCACAUCCUUGUAUGUUUAGUGGCAAGAUGUCGUCGGCGUGCACUUCUCCCCUUAGUAGGACGUCGCGACCCGUUGGGUGUUGGUUUACGGCCCAAGUGGUAGCCUUUAAUGUUGUAUUUAUUUGUAAUAUUAAAGACCCUUGGUGUUUUCUAACCAACUGCUCGGCGGUAUUCGUACGGUAUUUAGCCGCAUUUUUAUGCGUCCAUACCCAUCGCAAGCGCGGUUAGAUUUCGAUAGUACGGACUUUGUGCCGACGUUGUAUCUGACCAGCUGUUGGUUGUUAUGGUGUUCUAGGACUGGCUAAAAUUAUUACCGGUCGGCGAUGCUACUGCUU
rnacentral:rRNA from 1 species